GGCUGCUGCUGCUAGCUGAAAUGCUUAACUUUUCUUUCGCACCGUUCACUAUGAAGAACGCUUGGAGUUUUGACAUAACGAUUGCUUUAGCUACGUGUCUGUUUCUUCAAUGCGUAUUACAAGAGGGGGAUCGGCCAUUAGCUCUUGCUGCGCAUCAACAAGUACAAAUAGAGGCGAGAUCUAACAGGUAUCCACAAAAGCCCAUGCCUCCUCAAACAACAACUCGAAAGCCGACUUCACCAACUGGUAUUUACAAAGGUCCAAGAGGAUGACCUGCGAGUGCACCACUGUUUGCAACAGAUGAAGAUUAAAACUUGGAGGUUGUUUUUUUACGGCGUGCCUCUGCGCAAUCAAAUAAAAAUAAAGGACCCCAACUGUUUGUACAAAGA